AGGGCGCUAUGACCAUCAAAGCGUCUCUCUUAUGGAGAAAGGUUGACUGAAGUGGGCUUCUUCAGCCUGCAGAAGAGAAGGCUCUGGGGAGACCUCGCUGUGGCCUUAUGGUACUUGAAGGGAUUGUAUACACAGGAGGGAGAACAGCUGUUUACCAGGGUGGACAGCGAUAGGACAAGGGGGAAUGCUUGUAAACUAAUACACAGGACAGUUAGGUUAAACACUAGGAGGAAGUUUUUCACACAGAGGUUGGGGAGGCACUGGAACAGGUUACCCAAGGAGGCGUUGUGUUGCCCCAUCCCCAAAGGCGCUCAAGGCCAGACUGGAUGUGACUGCGCAGCCUGGUCUGAGGGAUGGCAACCCUGCACAUAGCAGGGGGGUUGAAACUGCAUCAAUUGUGGUCCUAUGCAAAUCAGGCCAUUCUGUGAUUCUAUAAUUCUUUGCUGCAGGGGCUCAAAGGAAUGCCGGGCAACAGGACACGAAAACUCCUAACACCUCGGUUUGCAGCAAGGCCUUGCUUAAAAUUUCUUUUAAAGGACAUCUCUGAUGAAGUUAAUGUACUGUAGGGACCUACGAGUUUAUAUCUGAACUGGCUCAAACAAUUUUACUCCAUUUGAACUGAAAGCUCACAAACAUGAGCAGAAAAGGAUAUGAGAUUAGGAAGGUCUACCAAAUGGCAAAGCCUUAAAGAAGAGAAUGCAGAACAGAGACAGAAAGGCAACAAGUGGAUAAACAGCACCACUUCUACAUGUUUGGGGCAUUUCACGCACACCAGGCUAAUUAAGAAGGCAUAAGAACAACAGUCCUUUGGGUUGGAAAUCCAAACCCAUCUGGAAUACUGUGUCCAGGUACUCCUUAUUCCCUCAGGAGUUCUCUCAGUGCCUACCUUAAUUUGACAGAGAUUGCAGAUAUCGACAAUAUAGUAAUCUUGGUGGAAACAGUCACUAAAGUGGACAUGAUUACAACCUAUGACCUUCUACAUUCCCGGUAACAGCAGAAGACAACUGGAAAUCUUCCCUGUGAUCACUGGCAAAUUACUACCAAAGUUACUCAAGGUAGGAAACAGCUGAGAAGAGCUCUGUGGUUUUGCUUACC